rnacentral:rRNA from 1 species
UACGAGGGGGGCAAAUGUUGUUCGGAAUCACUGGGCGUAAAGGGAGCGUAGGCGGGCUCUUAAGUUAGGUGUUUAAUCCUGGGGCCCAACCCCAGUCGUGCACCUAAAACUGGGAGUCUUGAAUAGUGGAGAGGUCAGUGGAAUUGGGGGUGUAGCGGUGGAAUGCGUAGAGAUCCCCAAGAACACCAGUUGCGAAGGCGGCUGACUGGACACAUAUUGACGCUGAGGCUCGAAAGCAUGGGGAGCAAACAGG